UACGUAGGGACCGAGCGUUGUCCGGAAUCAUUGGGCGUAAAGAGCGUGUAGGCGGCCACUUAAGUCCUGCGUGAAAUCCUGCGGCUCAACCGCAGGCGGUCGUGGGAAACUGGGAGACUAGAGUGCGGGAUGGGAGAGUAGAAUUCCUGGUGUAGCGGUGAAAUGCGCAGAUAUCAGGAGGAACACCGGUGGCGAAGGCGGUUCUCUGGGCAUGUCCUGACGCUGAGGAGCGAAAGUGUGGGGAGCGAACAGG
rnacentral:rRNA from 1 species